rnacentral:lncRNA from 1 species
AGAACUGCUUCUUGCUGCCGCCAUAUGAAGAAGGACGUGUUCGCUUCCCCUUCCUCCAUGAUUGUAAGUUUCCUGAGACCUCGCCAGCCAUGCUGAACUAGUGAACAGGAAACCUACAGAAUAGGAGAAAAUUUUUGCAAUCUACUCAUCUGACAAAAGGCUAAUAUCCAGAAUCUACAAAGAACUCAAACAAAUUUACAAGCACAAAACGAACAACCCCAUCAACAAGUGGGCAAAGGACAUGAACAGACACUUCUCAAAAGAAGACAUUUAUGCAGCCAACAGACACAUGAAAAAAUGCUCAUCAUCACUGCCCAGCUAAAUCUUGACUUCUAUUGAAGAAGUGAAGGAUGGAUUUUGUAAGCCUACCAGCAGCCAAAGGAGACUAAGAGGAGUCAUUCAGGAAUAUGAGGGUUAUGAAGACAGUGGUGUCCCAGAAACCAAGGAGAAGAGGAUGUUGCAUGAAGAAGGAGAUGAUGGUUUCACUUUGGUUACAUUUAUCCAAAUGCCCCGUCCAACUCUUCAGUGUCCCUAGUAAAAUCUGGUAUAGAGAUGGACACUGUUUUUUAGGUGAGGCCUGCUGAGUGUGGAGAGUUGUGAAAAAUUUUUCCCUUAAAUUGAGAAUGUUUUAAAUAAUGCAGCCUAUGUUUUCUUUAAGUAACAAGGCCAUCCCACUGACUCACACUGAUCUUGUUCUCAGCAAAAAACUCCCUGCUCUUCCUCAUAUUAAUUGCCAUAAAAACAAGUCACUUCUAUCAUGCAUUUGGCUCAUUGAGUUAUGAAAAUAUGUAGGUAUUUCGUUUCUUUUUAUGUAAAUUUAUGCUGGUUUUAGUCCAUCAUUUGA